GUCAGAGGAACAAUACUUUAAGGGCAUCUUCAUUGCCAAAGAUGUGGACGUAUCCUCUUUUGUUGAAGAAAUCAGGAGUAAAGCGAAAAGUGUUAGUAAUGAUUCAGAGUUUGUAGCCCUGCUGUGUAAAUGCAGUAUUUUUGCCAUCUAAUAUAAUUUUUUUUAAUUUUAAUAAUAAUUUUUUUUUUUUCUCCAUGCAGACUCCAGGAAAAGGCACUUGUGGAGCUAGUCAGUGGUCUGCUGCCAGGGAGACUGCCAGAAGAGCUAGCAAACUUGAUGAAGAGGGUCUUGAGGUAGCUGUUUGCAGGCAUGGGGUGAUAUUAAAGGGUCUCAACAUGUACAGGGGGGAGAUCUUUGCGUAUCCCCUAUACCUGCAGAAGGAGCUUCAGGCAGCCACAAACAUUAAUUUCUACUGCACUGACAUCUCAUGCAAGUACUGGCCCUAUCUUCAGAAGAUGUCAGUCUCUAUGCCUGAACUGAGCCCUCUUCUUCAAAUGAGGCCGUUUCUGUCAGUCAUGCACGCCAAGGCCCAUUCAACUAAGUGUGAGGUAUUGUCUUUAUUAUGCCAUUUACUAUUGCUGUUAAAUUUAAUUAAUGAUAAUGGGAAUGCACAAUUUAUAUCUUUGCAAAACUGAGAUUGGUGCAUCCCUAACCAAUAACUUUUUCACAAAUUUGUUAGAUUGUCUGGAGUGGUAGGAAUCAGGAGGGUGCUGGCGCAACUGCAGGGGAAGAGGUGGAAAUGGUGAACAGUUUCCUCUCUCGUUGUGCUCUCACAACUAAGUACAUGACCAAAUCUGGUAUGUGAUCCUCCUUUAUUACAUUAAUAAAAAUGUUUUGUUCUUUCAGUUAUUCUUUCAUUAGUCUUUCAUUCUUUAUAUAAAAAUACAGAAGAGAAACCUUUAUUUUAAUUAAAUUUGAGUAGGCCGUCCAGUUACAUUUGACUAUGUUUUCAAAAAGCUCGCAAUGACAUGCUGACUGUACAUGCAAUUGGGUGGAAUAGACGCAAGCAUGAUGGCCUUCAUCUUGCAUUGUCCAACAGAUAUGUCAAGGUAUUAAACAUAUUACACAGAAUUAAUCUGGUCCAAGAUGGCAAAGGCAAUUGUUUGUUUGCAUUUUUAUUGAAGACCGUCCGAAAGGCUGAGGCUGAGUCCCAGAGGCUGGAGAACUUGAGCCGUGAACUUGGGUGUCCUGAGAACAUGGUGCAGCAGUGGGUACAUGACGUCAGACAGUGGGCCACUGAUGAUUCUAUAGAUGCCAGACAGGAUGACCAACAUAUCCUUCAGCGGACGAUAGAGCACAUAUGUCUGGGUGUCUAUCAAAAAAAAGCAAGCCUUUAUAAUCAGACAGACAGCAACAAGAUUCGACAAAUGCGGCGACGGAAAUUGGGGGACGAGAAAAGAAAACUCUUUGAAGCAAUCAAACGAUACAAUGAGCAGGUGCCAGAGGAGGAGGGCAUAAAUGAGCAGAUGGUGGAGAGCCGACUCUCUAUGGUGGGCCAUGCCAGUGGGGAGGACAGUCUAAUAUGGCCAUGGGAGGUUCACAGCACUGAAUCCACAAACAUCCUCACUAAGAAGAAGAUCUUCGAUGCAUGCAUGUCAAAGAUGCGGCUGCAAGAAGAGAAGAUCCUAAUUCUUAGGGAGAUGAGACAGCACUGCACCUAG
rnacentral:lncRNA from 12 species